rnacentral:rRNA from 1 species
UACGUAGGGUGCGAGCGUUGUCCGGAAUUAUUGGGCGUAAAGAGCUCGUAGGCGGUCUGUCGCGUCGGUCGUGAAAACUUGGGGCUUAACCCUGAGCUUGCGGUCGAUACGGGCAUGACUGGAGUUCGGUAGGGGAGACUGGAAUUCCUGGUGUAGCGGUGAAAUGCGCAGAUAUCAGGAGGAACAUCAGUGGCGAAAGCGACUUCCUGGACCAGUACCGACGUUCAGGCACGAAAGCGUGGGGAGCAAACAGG